rnacentral:misc_RNA from 1 species
GAUGAAGAACGUAGCGAAAUGCGAUACGUAAUGUGAAUUGCAAAUUCAGUGAAUCAUCGAGUCUUUGAACGCACAUUGCGCCCCCUGGUAUUCCGGGGGGCAUGCCUGUCCGAGCGUCAUUGCUGCCCUCAAGCACGGCUUGUGUGUUGGGCCCCGUCCUCCGAUCCCGGGGGACGGGCCCGAAAGGCAGCGGCGGCACCGCGUCCGGUCCUCGAGCGUAUGGGGCUUUGUCACCCGCUCUGUAGGCCCGGACGGCGCUUGCCGAUCAACCCAAAUUUUUAUCCAGGUUGACCUCGGAUCAGGUAGGGAUACCCGCUGAACUUAAGCAUAUCAAUAAGCGGAGGA